rnacentral:sRNA from 1 species
UAACUUCCAAGGUAGUCGUCCAUGUAGUU